rnacentral:rRNA from 1 species
GACGAACGCUGGCGGCGUGCUUAACACAUGCAAGUCGAACGGAAAGGCCCUGCUUUUGUGGGGUGCUCGAGUGGCGAACGGGUGAGUAACACGUGAGUAACCUGCCCUUGACUUUGGGAUAACUUCAGGAAACUGGGGCUAAUACCGGAUAGGAGCUCCUGCUGCAUGGUGGGGGUUGGAAAGUUUCGGCGGUUGGGGAUGGACUCGCGGCUUAUCAGCUUGUUGGUGGGGUAGUGGCUUACCAAGGCUUUGACGGGUAGCCGGCCUGAGAGGGUGACCGGCCACAUUGGGACUGAGAUACGGCCCAGCCUCCUACGGGAGGCAGCAGUGGGGAAUAUUGCACAAUGGGCGGAAGCCUGAUGCAGCAACGCCGCGUGCGGGAUGACGGCCUUCGGGUUGUAAACCGCUUUCGCCUGUGACGAAGCGUGAGUGACGGUAAUGGGUAAAGAAGCACCGGCUAACAACGUGCCAGCAGCCGCGGUGAUACGUAGGGUGCGAGCGUUGUCCGGAUUUAUUGGGCGUAAAGGGCUCGUAGGUGGUUGAUCGCGUCGGAAGUGUAAUCUUGGGGCUUAACCCUGAGCGUGCUUUCGAUACGGGUUGACUUGAGGAAGGUAGGGGAGAAUGGAAUUCCUGGUGGAGCGGUGGAAUGCGCAGAUAUCAGGAGGAACACCAGUGGCGAAGGCGGUUCUCUGGGCCUUUCCUGACGCUGAGGAGCGAAAGCGUGGGGAGCGAACAGGCUUAGAUACCCUGGUAGUCCACGCUGUAAACGGUGGGUACUAGGUGUGGGGUCCAUUCCACGGGUUCCGUGCCGUAGCUAACGCUUUAAGUACCCCGCCUGGGGAGUACGGCCGCAAGGCUAAAACUCAAAGGAAUUGACGGGGCCCCGCACAAGCGGCGGAGCAUGCGGAUUAAUUCGAUGCAACGCGUAGAACCUUACCUGGGUUUGACAUGGAUCGGGAGCGCUCAGAGAUGGGUGUGCCUCUUUUGGGGUCGGUUCACAGGUGGUGCAUGGCUGUCGUCAGCUCGUGUCGUGAGAUGUUGGGUUAAGUCCCGCAACGAGCGCAACCCUUGUUCACUGUUGCCAGCACGUUAUGGUGGGGACUCAGUGGAGACCGCCGGGGUCAACUCGGAGGAAGGUGGGGAUGACGUCAAGUCAUCAUGCCCCUUAUGUCCAGGGCUUCACGCAUGCUACAAUGGCUGGUACAGAGAGUGGCGAGCCUGUGAGGGUGAGCGAAUCUCGGAAAGCCGGUCUCAGUUCGGAUUGGGGUCUGCAACUCGACCUCAUGAAGUCGGAAUCGCUAGUAAUCGCAGAUCAGCAACGCUGCCGUGAAUACGUUCCCGGGGCU